AUCACUUCUCGGCCUCAAGUGUAGUAUCUGUUCUUAUCAGUUUACUAUCUGAUACACCGUCUACCUAGGACAACAUAUUAAAUAGAUGUUUUAAAACAGGAUUAAACAGGAGCUCGUUCCAUCCACUCUACACAUAGACCUGGUAUUGCAGUAGCUCCAGGAAUAAACAUCAU
ensembl:snRNA U2 U2 spliceosomal RNA